UCCAACAUGGAUCACGUUUAAACAAGGAAAAUAAUAAUAAUUAAAGAGAAAAUAAAUACCUUUUAUUUUCUUUGCAGCAAAAUACGAGAUCGAUCAUUUUGGUUGGGUUGUCGCAAACCAUAAACCGUCUAAGUGUCUGGUCUCUAACGAUACCCACGCAGAAUAGCAAUCGAAAAACCUUAGAACAGUUAUAGAUAUUGAGAAUGAGAGAGAUUUUGAG
rnacentral:lncRNA from 1 species